AGGUAAUAGAUACCCCGGUAGUCCACGCCGUAAACGAUGGAUGCUAGCUGUUAGAAGUAUCGACCCUUCUAGUAGCGAAAGCUAAACGCGUUAAGCAUCCCGCCUGUGGAGUACGGUCGCAAGACUAAAACAUAAAGGAAUUGACGGGGACCCGCACAAGCGGUGGAGCGUGUUCUUUAAAUUCGAAGGUAAGCGAAGAACCUUACCAAGGUUUGACAUCCCGGUAGCCGUUUUCCGAAAGGAAGACUUCAUUAGUUGGACCGGUGACAGGUGUUGCAUGGCCGUCGUCAGCUCGUGUCGUGAGAUGUUUGGUUAAGUCCAUCAACGAGCGCAACCCUUAUAGUUAGUUUGGAUUUCUCUAGCUAGACUGCCCCGGUAACGGGGAGGAAGGAGGGGAUGAUGUCAGGUCAUUAUUACCCUUACACCUUGGGCUAGAAACACGCUACAAUGGCCAGUACAAAGGGCUGCCAAGUCGCAAGACGGAGCAAAUCCCAUCAAAGCUGGUCCCAGUUCGGAUAGUAGGCUGAAACUCGCCUGCUUGAAGUCGGAAUCGCUAGUAACGGUAGGUCA
rnacentral:rRNA from 1 species